rnacentral:rRNA from 1 species
ACUGUUUCGGCUAGGGGGCCAUCCCGGCUUACCAACCCGAUGCAAACUGCGAAUACCGGAGAAUGUUAUCACGGGAGACACACGGCGGGUGCUAACGUCCGUCGUGAAGAGGGAAACAACCCAGACCGCCAGCUAAGGUCCCAAAGUCAUGGUUAAGUGGGAAACGAUGUGGGAAGGCCCAGACAGCCAGGAUGUUGGCUUAGAAGCAGCCAUCAUUUAAAGAAAGCGUAAUAGCUCACUGGUCGAGUCGGCCUGCGCGGAAGAUGUAACGGGGCUAAACCAUGCACCGAAGCUGCGGCAGCGACACUCAGGUGUUGUUGGGUAGGGGAGCGUUCUGUAAGCCUGCGAAGGUGGCCUGUGAGGGUUGCUGGAGGUAUCAGAAGUGCGAAUGCUGACAUAAGUAACGAUAAAGCGGGUGAAAAGCCCGCUCGCCGGAAGACCAAGGGUUCCUGUCCAACGUUAAUCGGGGCAGGGUGAGUCGACCCCUAAGGCGAGGCCGAAAGGCGUAGUCGAUGGGAAACGGGUUAAUAUUCCCGUACUUGGUGUUACUGCGAAGGGGGGACGGAGAAGGCUAUGUUGGCCGGGCGACGGUUGUCCCGGUUUAAGCGUGUAGGCUGGUUUUCCAGGCAAAUCCGGAAAAUCAAGGCUGAGGCGUGAUGACGAGGCACUACGGUGCUGAAGCAACAAAUGCCCUGCUUCCAGGAAAAGCCUCUAAGCAUCAGGUAACAUCAAAUCGUACCCCAAACCGACACAGGUGGUCAGGUAGAGAAUACCAAGGCGCUUGAGAGAACUCGGGUGAAGGAACUAGGCAAAAUGGUGCCGUAACUUCGGGAGAAGGCACGCUGACAUGUAGGUGAAGUGAUUUACUCAUGGAGCUGAAGUCAGUCGAAGAUACCAGCUGGCUGCAACUGUUUAUUAAAAACACAGCACUGUGCAAACACGAAAGUGGACGUAUACGGUGUGACGCCUGCCCGGUGCCGGAAGGUUAAUUGAUGGGGUCAGCGCAAGCGAAGCUCCUGAUCGAAGCCCCGGUAAACGGCGGCCGUAACUAUAACGGUCCUAAGGUAGCGAAAUUCCUUGUCGGGUAAGUUCCGACCUGCACGAAUGGCGUAAUGAUGGCCAGGCUGUCUCCACCCGAGACUCAGUGAAAUUGAACUCGCUGUGAAGAUGCAGUGUACCCGCGGCAAGACGGAAAGACCCCGUGAACCUUUACUAUAGCUUGACACUGAACAUUGAGCCUUGAUGUGUAGGAUAGGUGGGAGGCUUUGAAGUGUGGACGCCAGUCUGCAUGGAGCCGGCCUUGAAAUACCACCCUUUAAUGUUUGAUGUUCUAACGUGGACCCGUAAUCCGGGUUGCGGACAGUGUCUGGUGGGUAGUUUGACUGGGGCGGUCUCCUCCUAAAGAGUAACGGAGGAGCACGAAGGUUGGCUAAUCCUGGUCGGACAUCAGGAGGUUAGUGCAAUGGCAUAAGCCAGCUUGACUGCGAGCGUGACGGCGCGAGCAGGUGCGAAAGCAGGUCAUAGUGAUCCGGUGGUUCUGAAUGGAAGGGCCAUCGCUCAACGGAUAAAAGGUACUCCGGGGAUAACAGGCUGAUACCGCCCAAGAGUUCAUAUCGACGGCGGUGUUUGGCACCUCGAUGUCGGCUCAUCACAUCCUGGGGCUGAAGUAGGUCCCAAGGGUAUGGCUGUUCGCCAUUUAAAGUGGUACGCGAGCUGGGUUUAGAACGUCGUGAGACAGUUCGGUCCCUAUCUGCCGUGGGCGCUGGAGAACUGAGGGGGGCUGCUCCUAGUACGAGAGGACCGGAGUGGACGCAUCACUGGUGUUCGGGUUGUCAUGCCAAUGGCACUGCCCGGUAGCUAAAUGCGGAAGAGAUAAGUGCUGAAAGCAUCUAAGCACGAAACUUGCCCCGA